GCCUGCCCAGUGACAUAGUUAAACGGCCGCGGUACCCUGACCGUGCGAAGGUAGCAUAAUCACUUGUUCUUUAAAUGGGGACUCGUAUCAACGGCAUCACGAGGGCUUUACUGUCUCCUUUCUCCAAUCAGUGAAACUGAUCUCCCCGUGAAGAAGCGGGGAUGACAAUAUAAGACGAGAAGACCCCAUGGAGCUUUAAACCCAACGACACCCCUCAACCCCCCAACCCAUUAUAGUUGCUACAGCCCUGUUCGUUGGUUUUAGGUUGGGGUGACCGCGGAGUAUAAAUUACCCUCCACGACGAAUGGGACUACCCCCUUACCCAAGAGCUACUCCUCUAAGGAUCAACAGAUUGACGUAAAAUGAUCCAAGCAUUUGAUCAACGGACCAAGUUACCCUGGGGAUAACAGCGCAAUCCAUUUCAAGAGCUCCUAUCGACAAAUGGGUUUACGACCUCGAUGUUGGAUCAGGGUACCCAAGUGGUGCAGCCGCUACUAAUGGUUUGUUUGUUCAACAAUUAAAACCCU
rnacentral:rRNA from 1 species